GGCAACAGGUCCUAGCGACCCGCCGCCAUUUCACUCUAUACGCGUGCAGGCACGCCGGCGCGUAUAGAGCCUCGCAACGACAAGCGUUGAGCUUAAACAAAGUGUGCGUGCUGGCACGCCGGCGCACACUACUGCGACACCUCAAGGUCGUGCCACGUGGAAGCCAUCGCCGUGGGACUUUGGUCACUGCGUGAAGCCACCGUCACCGGAGCCCUUCAUCUCAGCAGCUUCACCGGUCAACGGCGCUUCACCCAAGUCCCUCGCACGAGGCCACCGACACCAGCGCAUCUCCCGACGACGACCAUCCGGAACCUCCUCAGCGGCAGUGUCAACGGAUUCGUCGAGCGUCGUGCGCCGCACAAGGCGAUAUCCCCGAGACCGAAAUCUACAGUGCUACGCAACUCCCGUGCACGACAGUCCAGUGUACUCUUUCCCCGGACGGCAGUCCCCUCGGAGAGUAUAUCUGACGUCACACACGAGAGCCAACAGCACCUUUCGCUCAUCAUCCUUCUAACGAGUUUAGACAUGGAAAAAGUAGGCGAAUUGAGAUCUCAGCUCAGGGCGUAUAGAAACGCCUCAGCUGACGAGCAAACUCGAGCAGACUGCUUCCGGG